rnacentral:rRNA from 1 species
GAUGAACGCUAGCGGCAGGCCUAACGCAUGCAAGUCGAGCGGUAGAGGACCUUCGGGUUCUUGAGAGCGGCGCACGGGUGCGUAACGCGUAUGCAACCUACCCUUUACAGGGGAAUAGCCCGUCGAAAGGCGGAUUAAUGCCCCAUGGCUCCUUUGAGAGGCAUCUCUUGAAGGGUAAAGAUUUAUCGGUAAAGGAUGGGCAUGCGUGCCAUUAGCUUGAUGGUGGGGUAACGGCCCACCAUGGCUACGAUGGCUAGGGGUUCUGAGAGGAAGGCCCCCCACACUGGGCCGGAGACACGGCCCAGACUCCUACGGGAGGCAGCAGUGAGGAAUAUUGGUCAAUGGGCGGAAGCUUGAACCAGCCAUGCCGCGUGCGGGAAGAAGGCGCUACGCGUCGUAAACCGCUUUUGUCCGGGGGUAACCGCGGGGACGUGUCCCCGCCUGCAAGUACCGGACGAAUAAGGGUCGGCUAACUCCGUGCCAGCCGCCGCCGUAAGAC